rnacentral:rRNA from 1 species
AGAGCGAACGCUGGCGGCAGGCCUAACACAUGCAAGUCGAGCGCCGUAGCAAUACGGAGCGGCAGACGGGAGAGUAACACGUGGGAACGUGCCCUUCAGUUCGGAACAACCCAGGGAAACUUGGGCUAAAUACCGGAUACGUCCGAAAGGAGAAAGAUUUAUCGCUGAAGGAUCGGCCCGCGUCUGAUUAGCUAGUUGGUGAGGUAACGGCUCACCAAGGCUACGAUCAGUAGCUGGUCUGAGAGGAUGAUCAGCCUCACUGGGACUGAGACACGGCCCAGACUCCUACGGGAGGCAGCAGUGGGAAUAUUGGACAAUGGGCGCAAGCCUGAUCCAGCCAUGCCGCGUGGAUGAUGAAGGCCCUAGGGUUGUAAAGUCCGUUUCGGCGGGGAAGAUAAUGACGGUACCCGCAGAAGACGGCCCGGCUAACUUCGCGCCAGCAGCCGC